rnacentral:rRNA from 1 species
CCUACGGGUGGCUGCAGUGGGGAAUAUUGCACAAUGGGGGAAACCCUGAUGCAGCGACGCCGCGUGAGUGAAGAAGUAUUUCGGUAUGUAAAGCUCUAUCAGCAGAGAAGAAAAUGACGGUACGUGACUAAGAAGCCCCGUCUAACUACGUGCCAGCAGCCGCGGUAAUACGUAGGGGGCAAGCGUAAUCCGGAUUUACUGGGUGUAAAGGGGGCGUAGACGGAAGAGCAAGUCUGAAGUGAAAGUUCGCGGCCCAACGGCGGGACUGCUUUGGAAACUGGACGGCUAGAGUGCUGGAGAGGUAAGCGGAAUUCGUAGUGUAGCGGUGAAAUGCGUAGAUAUCAGGAGGAACACCAGUGGCGAAGGCAGCUUACUGGACAGUAACUGACGCUGAGGCUCGAAAGCGUGGGGAGCAAACAGGAUUAGAUACCCGUGUAGUC